UACGUAGGGGGCAAGCGUUGUCCGGAUUUAUUGGGCGUAAAGAGCGUGUAGGCGGUUUGGUAGGUCCGUUGUGAAAACUCGAGGCUCAACCUCGAGACGCCGAUGGAAACCAUCAGACUAGAGUCCGGAAGAGGAGAGUGGAAUUCCCGGUGUAGCGGUGAAAUGCGUAGAGAUCGGGAGGAACACCAGUGGCGAAGGCGGCUACCUGGACCAGCACUGACACUGAGUCACGAAAGCGUGGGGAGCAAACAGG
rnacentral:rRNA from 1 species